UACGGAGGGUGCAAGCGUUGUCCGGAAUCACUGGGCGUAAAGGGCGCGUAGGCGGCUCAUGAAGGCUGUGGUGAAAGUCCGGGGCUCAACCUCGGAUCGGCCGUGGCGACUCGUGGGCUGGAGCACUGUAGAGGCGGGUGGAAUUCUGGGUGUAGCGGUGGAAUGCGUAGAGAUCCGGAAGAACACCAGUGGCGAAGGCGGCCCGCUGGGCAGUGGCUGACGCUGAGGCGCGACAGCGUGGGGGAGCAAACAGG
rnacentral:rRNA from 1 species